GUGGGACAUCAUCAAAGGCAUUGCAUUAAAUCGGACAUCACGUGAGAGAUCAAAGCCAACAUGUGUAAGAUAAAACACAAUUUUAAUCCUUUUUUGAAGUUAAAUUGGAGAUUGUAAGGCCUUCACUCAGAUCGUACAUCAGAUACAGAGAUUGCAAACACAAAAAGACAUUUUGCAAGGCAGAGAAGGGACCAUGGGAGGCAGGACAGACACCAAGAUCGUGGAGGAAGAAGCAGAGAUUAGGCUCCGGACCUAUGUCUCAAUGAUGACCGUUCAAGUCUUAAAGAUAUGUGGCAUACUGCAAGGCUUCGAAGAGGAAGUGUGGGUCAGCUGCGCACAACGUCUGGUAAACAAGACAAUGGAAGGACUGCCAGAGGGAAUAUUCCCAACUAUGACCUCCAAGAAGAUGGCUAUGGCUGUGGUUAAAGAGCUGCGGGCUAAGUUUGGAAAGAAGCUGAAAUACAUGCUGUUUCUAGAAGAUCUGGGUGUGGAAGCUGUCUUAACCGAGUGCUUUCAAUCACACAUCCAAAAGUCGUCAUACAAGAAGUCCUGCCGCUGCUGUAAAUACCUAUUGUACAGCUUCUUCAUAACUUUGGGUGCAGUAGCAAUACUCGCAAUUGGAACUCUGUUCCUCAUCUUGUAGCUCCCAAUCUUAGAGUAUGAUUGUGAUUAUUUAAUAAUGGGUGUGUAUGUGAGUGAUAAAGUACACUUUCAUCUUGAAUCUCCCACAUCUUUCACUUCACACACAUUUGUUUUUGUUUUUUAAAGUGACUGAGAUUUUCUGCAAAUUCAACUUACAUUUAGAUGUCUUCAGCUUCUCUGUUCUGCUAAUUCAAUUUAUAUCCAGCUGUAUUCAACUUCUUCUAAUUAAACUUAUAUUUAACUAUCUUCUCUGUCAAUUAUUAUUAUUAUUACCAGUAUUUUUUAUAUGAUUAUCAUUAUUAUUAUUAAUAAUAUCUAUAAUGUAGCAGCAAUUUGCGGCCUAUAUCUGUUUAUUCACCCUUGAUUUACUCACUGUGUAAACAACCAAUUCAACCAAUUUCCACGUCAAACUUGGCGACGAGUGACUCGGACUCCGUGAUCUGGAUAGAAGGCCAACCAACCAGGAGGAUUCCUCCCUCUGGGUGAGAUGUCCACGGACGGAGCCGGAUCACCGCUCCAAUCCUAAAUGGGUAAAGGUAAAGAACCACGCUCGGUACAAACACCACCAAGUAAAAAAAAAGGUUCCAGCCAUGGAUGAACUUGUCAUCCAUCACAUCCUUGACUCAACAUCCUGCUGGGACGUGUGGUGGGUUCCUGGCAAGACUGCGAGCUGCUUUUGACAUACACAGUGGGCUUGAAAAAGUCCACGCACUGCAUAUGAAAUUCACCUGAAGGAGCACUUUUUUGGGGUCGUAUGGAUCCAUAUAGUGCUACUGCACUCACCAGCAACACUUGGAAGACAGCUGGUCUGGCGGAAAUUUAGCAACAAGCUGUAGAUCAGGCCUCAAGAAAGAGAAAAACAAGAAAAAGAAAGAGAGCACGUUGAAGGAUUAGAGACGGUCAACUCAUGGUGUGUAGUGGCCCUACAGAGGACGCAGCAAAAAAUGGAAAACGCAGGGGCGGUCUCCAAGGGGGACGGGGUGCCUGGGAUAUCGGCCCUCUCCUCCCGAUAUCUGUCAACAAUGUGGACAAAGACUGUCCCCAGAAGAAGCAGGGUCUGACAUCAUCUGUGAAGCCUGCAAUUCAGCAUUCGGACUGAGGUUGAGAGGAGGGGGUGGGUCGACACCUCACACGCACUGCGACACAGCGUUGGACUCCAACUCUUCAUUGGUCAUCCACCCCAGGGGUGUUCACGCGCCCUCUGAGGUUAAAGAGCUCAUCUGCAGGUUGCAGGCCGAAGAACACGGAGCUGGGACUGAAGACCGAUUCAGAGAAUCCACACAGUGAAAAACUCUGCCGACGGAAGUUAAGUCUACUCUGUUUCUCGCUGAAGACCCUGCAACUUUAGAGAAGUGGCACCGUAUGAAAGUCCUCCACCAGCGGAAGAGGAAGAGGAGCGCAUUUAAUUUUGGAUUUGUUUGCCCUGUUAUGUCCAAAAACUCAUUGAACUUGCCCUAGACUGUAAAGGAUGCUUGAAAUAGAAAGAAAAAAAAUGCCACGUGAGUUUAUAUGUAAGAAAUGGUGUCAAAACUGCAUGAACAGAAAACAGAUCCACAUGCAUCCGUUGAUUUGUGGACAUAGAUAUGAAUGUAAGCCCCAUCAAGGGAUGAGCAUUGAUUAGCUUAGGAUGUAAAAUCUGUGGCAUGUAUUGGUUCAUGUUGUAUACCCGUUCCUAGACAAAUAAACAUAAAAAAAUAAAAAGUACAAUAGAAUUUGUAGCUGGAUAUGGUUAUGUUUAAAUAUGUGAUAGACAGCUGACAGCCAACCAGAACCUAACCUUAAUAAAGUAAGUUAGUCUGUAGUCAUUGACCCUCAAUCGCAUGUAUUUUGUUCAUGCGAUUGAGGAGGCCAAGUUACAGUAGUUCUUCCACCCACAGGAUAGUAAACACACCCUGUCUGCAGUCAGAGCAACCAGGGUCCGUACGGGACGUACAUCCCGACUGAGAUUUCAAAAUAGAGAAGAGCAAGUGGUGCAACACUAAAACACAUACUGUGAAGCAGGGAUGUAGUAUUGGAGGCCUCAAUUCGCUAUUUUCGUGACUCGUGACUUGACUCAGACUCGCCUAUUAAUGACUCUGACUUGGAGUCUGACUCGAGGAUUCAUGCAAGAGGACUCGAGCUUUCAUGAAAUCAAACUCGAAGGUGGAUGAAGUCCCUGACAACUUAUAUGUUUAAUACGUCGGUCAAUUUAGUCUGUAACAGUUUCUUGCAAGGGCAGGAUGUGUGUGUCCUCUUCCACCUGCAGAUUCAGCGCGCCCAACGCUGUGAACAAAUUUGGAAGAUGCAGUAGGACGUGCCCCGGGUCGUGAAGUUUGCCUUCACACAUCUCACUUUCACGUCUAGAAAGUGCUCCGUUAAAUGCACAAUUUGCCGGCGUACGAUUGAGGAGAAGUCUGGGACGUCGUCUGAUUUUAACAGACAUCUGUCACGCCGUGACAAUCAGUUAAUAAACUCCCUUUGAAUG